rnacentral:rRNA from 1 species
GGUCAAAUCAUCAUGCCUCUUACAUCUAGGGCUACAGGCGUGCUACAAUGGCUGAUACAACGAGUCGCAACACAGUGAUGUGAAGCUAAUCUCUUAAAGUCAGUCUCAGUUCGGAUUGAAGUCUGCAACUCGACUUCAUGAAGUUGGAAUCGCUAGUAAUCCCGAAUCAGAAUGUCGGGGUGAAUACGUUCUCGGGUGUU